GUGACCCCAGGUCAGGCGGAUACCC
rnacentral:rRNA from 1 species